UUCACUUGUCCUAGAGGAUUUCCCAAAAAAUUAUAUUCAGAUAAUGGUACACAGUGUAUGCAAACAAGGAAUUGAGAGAUAUGGUUACUCGGUGGAAUAAGCAUGAAGUGUUCAAUUUUGGAAAAUUUAAUGGUUUAAUCUGGGUAUUCAAUAGAUCAGCAGAUGCCCCUUGGGAAAAUUCUUGCAGUGAAGCGUUAAUUAGAUUAGUCAAGAGAUCUCUCACUAGAAUCAUAGGUGAAUCAGUCAUAUCCUUUGGAGAACUACAGUCUGUUAUGUAUGAGGUGGCCAAUGUAUUGAAUGAACGGCCUAUCGGGUUCAAACCAGGUGAAGAUUUUGAUGAAGGGACUGUAUUGAGACCUAAUGACUUACUACUGGGUCGAUCUACCAUUGAUGCUCCUUGUGGAUUUUGGAAUGAACGGGGACAAGUAAGUAGAUCAUAUGCAUUUAAGAUUAAGGUCAUUGAUUUAUUUUGGAAAAAUUGGAUGAAGAACUACUUUCCUACUCUAAUUGUACGCCAAAAGUGGCAUGUGAGUGUAAGAAAUGUUCGGAAGGGUGACAUUGUACUUGUUAAUGAUCAUAAUGUAUUAAGAGGAGAAUGGAAGUUAGCGGAAGUUGUAGAAGGUAUACCAGGAAGGGAUGGAAAGAUCAGAGAUGUGUUGUUGAGGUAUAAAAUUAAUGAACCAGGAAAACAGUACAGGGGCCAACAUGACAAGCAAAUGGUAAGAUCAGUACAUAGACUGGUGGUGUUGCUCCCAGUCGAUCAACAAUAGAAGUAUAGAAGCCUUUGAUUUGUGGUGGGGGGAGUGUAAUAUGAUUCUCAUCAUAUUAGAAUUAUAAUGUCAAUGUUGGCACCUUUGAAUGUGGAGCGGGCAGUGUGUGUCGCUGUCAUUGGUUGGAAAGAGGUGUAGACACGGGUUGUAUUCCAGUUACUGUAUAAUUGUUAUUGGCAUAUAUGACAAGAAUUGUAAUUAUUAUUGAGAUACAUAUAUUGUUUUCUUACUUAUUAACAAGUUUGGUAUUGGUUAGUAAUGUGUAUUUGUUUGUCAAGAGGAAGUUUUCUUUUAGGGUCUGUGUAUGUAACACGGAUAUAUAUUAUACCGCACUCAGGGUGUAGGGGGAAGGUAGGCAGAGGUACAGUUGGUGCCUGUCAGGGGUGAGUGGCGGUUGUUUGACUGAGGUGAGUUUUGUGAUAACAUUAUUUCUCUGAUUUGUUUGACUUAUGUUAUGCCGCUGAUUGUGCAUAUUGGUUGGUGUUAUAUUGAAUGCGGUGCUGAUAGGAGGAUUUGAUUAAGUGUAACUUUGCAGCAUAGUUGGGGUAAUGCUGUAAUCAGACAUAUGGUGAAGUCUGCCUUGGCUGAUGAUGGGCGGUCAUUUUGCUGAAUCAAUCAAUAAAUCAAGAUACAGCAAGUCAG